GAUCACUUCCAGCCGAAUAGUUAUCGGUUUAUUUCUCUCCCGAAAUAAUAAUAAAGAGAUCUUUCAAUGGGUCCCUGGCCAAGCACCCCUAUUGUACAGGCAUUGGUAAGAGGGAUGGUGUUGACUGUGCAGCAGAGAGAGUCUCUCUCCUUCUCUCCCUCUCUCUCUUCAAAUAAACUCUCUCUCCUCCUGUCUUCUGGU